CAGCCAUGUGAUCUGUGCCAGAAAAGAUACUGAUACUUGUAUCCCACGCUCCUUCCAAAGCAAGUGGAGUAUGUGGGGUGCCUAGAUAAACUGCCAUCCAGGUUCUGACUAGGCCUCAUCCAGGUGCUGACUAGGCCUCCGAUUGAAUCCAAAAGUAGAUCUUGAUGAGCGAUGUGAGGAAUUCUGUCAGAGAGGCUGCAAGAACAGGAUGCUUCUCAAGAUUCUGGUAGGCUCCAGUACAUAGCUGGUGACUUGUGAUCAGCUUGUUCUGAGGCCUGGUCCACACAUGCAGCAGAAUGAAGUGGAGGAGUCCUGAGCUGGAAGAGCAGUCUGUACCACAUCACACUGGUGUUUAAACUGUGGCUAAGAAAGGAAUAAGAGAACAAGAGCAGAAAUACAAGAUCAUUGACAUUUGUGAAAAAUGCAACCACCACCGAAAAGAGGAAAGGAAAACUCAAGCUUUGACUCAGCAGAGACUCUGUUGCAAAAUAAGAUGAAUGGAAGACUGAAGCACACGAGAGCCACAGAUGCCUUGGAAAAAAGAAAAGAAAAAGAGAACAGAGAUGAGGUCAUCCUUUCACGUGAACCAAGGACAUUUAAAAGCAAUCUGGCUUUUCAAACCAAGAGUGGCACAACUGAAAUCACUCUGAGGGCCACAUUUACAUUUUUAUGAACUCAGGAGGCCAUAUUGCUACGUUAACCAUGAAAAAAGCCGUUGUUGCAGUCUUAAAUCUUUAUUUUUAACCCA